rnacentral:rRNA from 1 species
ACUCAAAUGAAUAGACGGGGGCCCGCACAAGCAGCGGAGCGUGUGGUUUAAUUCGAUGCAACGCGAAGAACCUUACCUAGGCUUGACGUAGUGGUAGUAGUGAAGCGAAAGCGGAACGACCCUUCGGGGAGCCAUUACAGGUGCUGCAUGGCUGUCGUCAGCUCGUGUCGUGAGAUGUUGGGUUAAGUCCCGCAACGAGCGCAACCCUCGUCGCUAGUUACACGUGUCUAGCGAGACCGCCGAUAUCAAAUCGGAGGAAGGUGGGGAUGACGUCAAGUCAGCAUGGCCUUUAUGCCUAGGGCGACACACACGCUACAAUGGCUGGUACAAUGAGCAGCGAACGGGUGACCUGGAGCGAAUCUCAUCAAAGCCAGUCGUAGUUCAGAUUGUAGGCUGCAACCCGCCUACAUGAAGCCGGAGUUGCUAGUAAACGCAGGUCAGCCAUACUGCGUUGAAUACGUUCCCGGGCCUUGUACACACCGCCCGU